GAUGAACGCUGGCGGCGUGCUUAACACAUGCAAGUCGAACGGACAGACGCUGAUUUUGCGGGGCGGACGUUGGCGGCAGACGGGUGGGAAACCCGUGGAAACCUUCCCUAUACUCCUGGGAAAAUUUCGGAAAACGGGGGCAAUUACGGGAGAAUCUACUGAUCCGCAUGGGUCAGUAGUGAAUGACGGCUUUUCCGGCACUUAUAGAUGGAUCCGCGCCGGAUGAGCUAGUUGGUAAGGUAACGGCCUACCAAGGCGACGAUGCGUAGCCGACCGGAGCGGGUGGUCGGCCGCCCUGGAAGUGAGACACGCUCCAGACUCCUACGGGAGGCAGCAGUAGGGAAUCGGCCGCAAUGGGCGAAAGCCUGACGGAGCAACGCCGCGCGAGUGAUGAAGGUCGUCCGAUCGUAAGACCCUGUUUUUAGGGAGGAACAUAUGUGUAAGUAGCUGUGGAGAGCUUGACGGUACCCAAUCAGGAAGCCCCGGCUAACUACGUG
rnacentral:rRNA from 1 species